CAUCCCUAUAGGUCCCAUAAGUGUUGAGACACCCCCAUGGGUGACAGGAUCCAGCAUCCCAUUCCCGAAUUCUCCAGAAUUCUAGGUUCAAUUUCACAACCCAUUCCACUCUGGCCAGGUGUGGUAAAUGGUCAGGGUUUAAUGUUCACCCCCUACACCUCCCUCCUUCCUUCCCUUCUAAACAUCCCAGGCUAAAGGGGAAACCCAUCUCCUCUCUUCCCUCUGUCCUGGCUUCCUGCUGACAUCAUAACAUACCUUCAUGAGGUACUAGGGGUUGUCCCACAUCAAAGGGGGUGUCCCACAUCAAGGAGGGUCUCUGACCACUUCCCAGCAAGGGCUGGGGUCUGUGGAGUCUCCCCUGUGUGUAGCUGUUCAGAGCCAGGUGAUUGUUGUCAUCUUCUUCUGAAAUUCCUUGAAAGUUCAGGUGCCUGAGAACUCCUGGGGUCAGCAAACUCUCAGAGUGAGUUUCUCUAUUGAAAGAAGUGGUCUGUCUGUGUAUGGCAAAGCCAAAGGGAGCAAAGAUCUGGAACCAAAACAGCACAGAAAACAUACUGGUGACCUACUGUUGCUGAACAGUGUUUUUACAGCAUCACCACCUUCUUUCCUUCUCUUUACUCUCUCAGUGAGCAGCUGGAGUGUGGCAACAUGGUGGGAUUUGGCA